ensembl:rRNA 5S_rRNA 5S ribosomal RNA
CAAAACAGCCACACCACCAUGAACAAGCCCGAUCUAGUCUGAUCUCGGAAGCUAAGCAUGGUCGGGCCUGGUUAGUACUUGGAUGGGAGACCGCCUGGGAGUACUAGGUGCUGUAAGUG